UAUACCUUGAGCAACAGUAGACGAAACGGAUUCUGCUGCAUAAUUUCCAGAGUGUAUUUUUCUUGCCGUCUGCUGUAUUACAGCAGGAAUACGCCGGGACAAAGCUAGCCUUACUAACAUUUUAAAACCACAUCAAAACUUGAUUUUCACCUCUUGACCGCGGACAUGUUGUUUUGAUAUUAUACAUUUUCAAUGACGUCAUUGAACAUACAGCGGAUGUUGCUGCGCGGGCGCGGUUUCAAAAAUCGGCGGAGAACUGAGGCGGAGAGUGGGAAUAUUAAUAAAAUGCGCAAACUGAUAAACAAACAAACAAAUCAACAGGCAAACAAACCUGACAUCUUUCCACUCUGAUUUAUCGCUUGGACGAACUUUGUCAAAGAAAAGAUAGUUCGGAUGUGUGGUAACACGGCAAAAUAAAACAGAUCAAUCAUUCGUCAAGAUGAACUACUCGCGUACCAGUGCGUACUUGUUUUACACCAAAACAUUGAGAAAAACAUGCGUGGGCAAGGCCUUGGACAAACCACCACUGGAAAAUUAUCAGGCAUGAUUUCUUCUCGGGACCGUUGCCAGUUCUGCGCAACUCCAGUUCAUGUGGAUUGUUCGUCUGAGAUCGUAUGUCUUGAUUAAACACAGGUUACCCGCGUGGCAGGCUCA